rnacentral:rRNA from 1 species
AUUGAACGCUGGCGGCAUGCCUAACACAUGCAAGUCGAACGGUAACAGGCCCCUUCGGGGUGCUGACGAGUGGCGGAUGGGCGAGUAAUACUUAGGAAUCUACCCUGUAGUGGGGGACGAACCCGGGAAACCGUACGGCGUAAUACCGCACACGCUCUACGGAGGAAAGACGGGGGCCGCAAGGCCUCGCGCUAUUGGAUGAGCCUAA